CGGAGUGUAGCGCAGUCUGGUAGCGCACCUCGUUCGGGACGAGGGGGUCGCAGGUUCAAAUCCUGCCACUCCGA
rfam:Aurantimonas sp. TSBA 369 genome assembly, contig: Ga0111599_131